rnacentral:rRNA from 1 species
GUAGUUGGACCUGUGUUCCACGCUGUCGGUUCGCCGCCCGUCGGUGUCAACUGGCAUGUCCUGUGGAACGUCCUGCCGGUGGCGGUCCGGGCUUUCGGCUUGCGUAAGGGCUCACGCCCGAAGCAGGUCGGACAGUACCGGCCGCCGGUCCAAUCCCGCCACGGUGCUCUUCACCGAGUGUCGAGGUGGGCCGGCACGUUUACUUUGAACAAAUUAGAGUGCUUAAAGCAGGCUGGUGUCCGCCUGAAUACUGUGUGCAUGGAAUAAUAGAAUAGGACCUCGGUUCUAUUUUGUUGGUUUUCGGAACCCGAGGUAAUGAUUAAUAGGGACAGGCGGGGGCAUUCGUAUUGCGACGUUAGAGGUGAAAUUCUUGGAUCGUCGCAAGACGAACCUAAGCGAAAGCAUUUGCCAAGUAUGUUCUCGUUAAUCAAGAACGAAAGUUAGAGGUUCGAAGGCGAUCAGAUACCGCCCUAGUUCUAACCAUAAACGAUGCCAGCCAGCGAUCCGCCGAAGUUCCUCCGAUGACUCGGCGGGCAGCUUCCGGGAAACCAAAGCUUUUGGGUUCCGGGGGAAGUAUGGUUGCAAAGCUGAAACUUAAAGGAAUUGACGGAAGGGCACCACCAGGAGUGGAGCCUGCGGCUUAAUUUGACUCAACACGGGAAACCUCACCAGGCCCGGACACCGGAAGGAUUGACAGAUUGAGAGCUCUUUCUUGAUUCGGUGGGUGGUGGUGCAUGGCCGUUCUUAGUUGGUGGAGCGAUUUGUCUGGUUAAUUCCGAUAACGAACGAGACUCUAGCCUGCUAACUAGGCGAUUCCGGUACCCACAAUAGUGUUACCGGCGAUUCAAUUUCUUCUUAGAGGGACAGGCGGCUCCUAGCCGCACGAGACUGAGCAAUAACAGGUCUGUGAUGCCCUUAGAUGUCCUGGGCCGCACGCGCGCUACACUGAAGGAAUCAGCGUGUCUUCCCUGGCCGACAGGCCCGGGUAACCCGUUGAACCUCCUUCGUGCUAGGGAUUGGGGCUUGCAAUUGUUCCCCAUGAACGAGGAAUUCCCAGUAAGCGCGAGUCAUAAGCUCGCGUUGAUUACGUCCCUGCCCUUUGUACACACCGCCCGUCGCUACUACCGAUUGAAUGAUUUAGUGAGGUCUUCGGACUGGUGCGCGGCGAUCGGUUUAUACUGCCGGCCGCCGAUGUUGCCGGAAAGAUGACCAAACUUGAUCAUUUAGAGGAAGUAAAAGUCGUAACAAGGUUUCC